GGGGGCGUAGCUCAGAUGGUAGAGCGCUCGCGUAGCAUGCGAGAGGUACGGGGAUUGAUACCCCGCCCUUCCA
rnacentral:tRNA from 1 species